rnacentral:rRNA from 1 species
UAGGGAAUCUUCCGCAAUGGGCGAAAGCCUGACGGAGCAACGCCGCGUGAGGGAUGAAGGUUUUCGGAUCGUAAACCUCUGUCAUCAGGGACGAUAAUGACGGUACCUGAUGAGGAAGCCACGGCUAACUACGUGCCAGCAGCCGCGGUAAUACGUAGGUGGCGAGCGUUGUCCGGAAUUACUGGGCGUAAAGGGCGUGUAGGCGGCCUUUUAAGUCAGAUGUGAAAUCUCAGGGCUUAACCCUGAAACUGCAUUUGAAACUGGAGGGCUUGAGGAUCGGAGAGGGCAGUGGAAUUCCCAGUGUAGCGGUGAUAUGCGUAGAUAUUGGGAAGAACACCAGUGGCGAAGGCGACUGCCUGGACGACACCUGACGCUGAGGCGCGAAAGCUAGGGUAGCGAA